UACGUAGGGGGCAAGCGUUGUCCGGAUUUAUUGGGCGUAAAGAGCGUGUAGGCGGUUUGGUAGGUCCGUUGUGAAAACUCGAGGCUCAACCUCGAGACGCCGAUGGAAACCAUCAGACUAGAGUCCGGAAGAGGAGAGUGGAAUUCCUGGUGUAGCGGUGAAAUGCGCAGAUAAUCAGGAAGAACACCCAUGGCGAAGGCAGCUCUCUGGGCCGGAUACUGACGCUGAGACGCGAAAGCGCGGGGAGCGAACGGG
rnacentral:rRNA from 1 species